AAUCCCGCUGACCGCUCACCUCUGCAGGACCGGGUUUUAUCCCGCUGACCGUCCACACCCCGUCGGUCUCAGAUGUUAUCCCACCGACCAAUUCAUCACACUGGGGCAAAUUUUUUAGAUAAUUUUUCAAACAAGUCCUAUACAGUUCUCUAUUUAAUUUUCUGUUCGGGUCUAUCCCAUGGGUCUGUCCCAUCUACAUUUUUAUCCGAGUCUAUCGCAUUUACAUUCCUGUCCGGGUCUAUCCCGUUUACAAUUCUGUUCAGGCCAGUCCCAUGUUUGAAAUUCCUUGUUUAGGUCAGCCCUCCGAAUAGGGGCAACCGAAUGGUACAGGUAAGCAUUUGGUGUCUACUUCUUUGUCUCAAGUUUUUUCAAAACUCAGACAAAGAGGGGCAAACUGUAGACACCAAAAAUUUCAUCGAUUCAGUUUUAGCUUUAUUCAUUCAAUUUUGACUUCCUUUGAUUCAAUUUUUAGUUUUAUUAUUAUUAUUUAUUCUUGUCUCAUAUUUAUUAUUUUUAAUUGAUUGGAGGUUGCAAAUGGUAAUUGAUGUUCAUUCUUAUUUUAAAUGCAUUAAAAUUCAUCAUUUUCUUUUUAAAGCAAUUUUACACUAAAUUUUAGGAAAAUCCCGAAUAAAGAUCCAUUUUAUCUUUUUAAAAUUUGAUUUUUUCUUGCUAAGGCAUUUUGCAAGGUAAUUUUUAAAAAUUAAGCAUGUUAAACAAGUGUGUCAAUUGCAUGUUGAACAAGUGUGCAAAUAAGCAUUAGACAAGUGGUUGAGGAAUGGUAGGACAAGUGUAUAGGGGGUAGCUGUCAAGGACACUUGGGGGGUUUUUUGGGGGGCAUCGGAAAAAAAGGAAGAAAAAACCCUCGAAGAGGCUUGAAAACAGGGGGAAGAGAAAAGAGCUAAAAAUAGAGGGGCCAAGCAGCGGGCAAGGGGAAAAAACAGAGGCUAGACAAAACAAGGGGAAGCUGGGGGCUAAGAAUCUGAGGAAAAAAGGGAAAAAACACGGAGAAAAGGCCGAGGAGGGUGGCGGCUAAAAGGGAGAGCAAAAAGCAAAAAGGCUUGAGAGCUGAGAGGGCAGGGGCGGCGGAAUUGCCGAGCAGGGGCAAAAGAACAAAAACAGAAAAAUUUCGUCCGAGAGCAAAAGAAAGGAAAGCAGGAAAAAAGAGGAACCGGGCGGCGGGCUGAGCAUAAAUGGAAGAAACAAUCAACGAAAAACAGCAAAAGGGAAAAUAGGGGAGGUUUUGGCCAAAAAGAACAGAGCGACAUGAAGAAUAGAGGAAAAGUCCCCGGCCGCGAACGGAAGCAGAGGAAGAAAGCUUCAGCAAAAAUAAAGGGCAAAUUCGAAAAGCUUGUAGCUGCUGCCGUUCACUGGAAUCACCAUUGCUCGCCACCGCAUCAGCGGAAUUCACCGCUGCCGCUCGUGAAUCUUCACCGUGAGAAACGAUGUAAGCUAUUCUUUCCCUUUUACAUUUCAGUUUUUUUUUCUUCAAGAAUGAAUUUCAGAAGCAUGGCUGCCGUGGGUCUGUCAUCAUGAUUUUUUUUUUCUGUUGAGGGUCGGUAAUUUUGUUCGCAUAUGUUUUCUGCGUGUGUUGGACUGAAUUCCUUGCUUUUCUGAUAAUUUUGGGGCCGGUUGUAAUGUAAUUUAAGCAGAAAUCUGUUGAGUUUUUUCAUGCCCAUUUGCUGUUUGCUAAAAUGCCCGAAUGAACCUUCUACUUGAAGAUGAUUUCGUUUGCUUUACGUACGAAGAAAAUGGAACAUUCGGAUGGUUUUUGCUUGUCCGAACAUAAUGAACGAUUCUCCAUGAUAGAAGCUGUGUUGGUUCGUUGUUUUUUUUUUCUGUUUUUUUAUCUCUAUGCUUGAAUCCGAAUCGAUGUUGAGAGGGAGUAUUGUUGUGAGUUUCAUUGUUUGCUGGAAUGAUUGGAAUCGAAACCAAAUUUCUGGUUUUGCUAAUCGAAAGGAAAGCUGAAAUGCUUAACUGGUAUCAGCAAUGAAGAGGAAAGCCUCUGCGAAACAUGAGUGAAGAAAUGUCUAAAAUUGCAAUUUAAUCCCUCAUUUUCUGUCUCAUUUCAUUACGGCCCAAAAUCUGGAAAAAUCAAACUAAUUUUGCCCUUUUAAGCUUAUUCCUCUGUUUGCAUAUUUUAUGUGAUUUGUUGGAUAGAUUAAUUCUGGGAUUUGGAUUAUAAUUAUGGCCUAAUAAUUUUAGUUGAUUUGCUAAUCUUGUUAGGUUUGAUAUUAUGAUUUGGGUUGUGGGUAAUAAUAAUUUGUUUGGAUUUAUGAAAGUGGGUUUAGUUUAUUUUGUUUGGAUUUUUGGCUUGGGCUUAAGGGGGGCUAAAGCCCACUCUUUUGUUGGGUUUGUUUUAUUGAUAAGUAGAGGCCAGCCCAGAUGUAGCCUCUGGGCUUUGUGGCAGGCUAAGGAGUCUUGGCCCAAACAAAUAGAGAGAAGGGCCCAAUGGCCUGUUAAGUCCAGUAGCCCAAUGACGAAAUUUCAUUCCAGUCCCCUGACUUUUGGAUAUUUUUACUGUGGCCCUAGACAUUUCCAUUCCUUUCAAUUGAGUCCCUGGUUUAAUUGCAAAUAGGCCCUUGAACUUUAUUUUUCUUUAAUUUUGGCCCCAAAAUUUUUUUCAAUCUUUGCAAUCAAGUCCUCUCUUCUCUUGACUUCUUAAAUGUGGUUUGUUGACAUGAUUUAAUUGAUUCAAAUUCAUGUUUAUUUUUAUCCUUUGUGAUUAUUUGCCAAAUAAAUUGGUGCCUUGACCAUUUCUUUUAUUUUGGAGGAUAAAUAAGUGAUUUCACUUCAGUGGGGCCCAAUUACAAGGGAGGGAUGUUGUCUAGCAAUACAAUAGCAGGAAUUUGAGAGGAUUCCAUUGUGCACCUUCAAUUUGAUCACAGGUCGCAAUUAGAGAUCUAAAGUGUUGAUUGUACUUUAGUUUGUUGAAGGUAGAAGUCUGCUUUGCUGAAAUUUCCUUGUCUUAGAGAGUCUGAAAUGUUUAACUGCUGUUAGCAAAGAAAACACUACCACUUACUAUAAUGUCACAGCACACACUCAAUACACAGACACAUACCUCAUAGAAUACGGAUCACGGCUCACAGUUGGCACUUCUAGCUCCUCCCUGAGAAACUCAGUUCAUCUUCCAAUCAAUUCUUUUUGGUAUAAUUUUGGCUUUUUUAAGAGCCACUUCCAGAUGUAAAGAGUAUAUUUGAUGAGCAUUUUGAUAUUUUGGUUCUAGCACAUGGUCCAUUUCACUUCUAACUCAAUUAUAGAUUGCAGAUAUUUAAGAACAGAUUAUUUGGUGUGGACAGCCAAGCAUAAUAUGAUAGCUUAAGAAUAUUUGCACUGAGUUUCCCGCCUUUGCUAUCUUUCAAUAAAAAAUAGCAGUUUUAUCUGCUCACCACAUAUGUCUGCCACUGUGAUUUGUACAUUGAUUCCGAAAGUUGAGAUUCUAUGGGACAAAAUGGUUGCUCUGAACUUUCACCUCUUGAAAAUGCACCUGUCAUUUUAUCAUCUUGCUGUAAACCAUCUGAGAUUUGAUCUUCUCUACAACAUCUCUUAGAGAUGGGAUUCAACUCAACUUUCCCUAGUUAUGAUCUCUCAACAUGAGGACACUUGUCAAUCGACAAAUUCUCUCUGCCCCUUGAUUGUUGAAUUGGUGUUGGCAAAGGGACUGGUUCAAAGCUCAACUGGAAAUCUAUAAUGGCUGGUAAUUACUAAUUACAGAGCCUGCAUAUUUGAGAAUCAUGUUGAACCAGAUCCUGUUUCAGUUGGGCUGAAAUGUUUAUGUUGGCACUCUUUUCUUUCACUUUGGUGCCUCAGAUGGCCAAAACCUGAUGUACUGAUCUUGGGAGCUUGCACACUUUCAAUGUGCCUUUUUAGUCAUGAGGCCUGGAUUUUGAUUGCUCAAUGACUGCAACUGGCCUGUACGAGCUGCUGGCCAAAAAUUUCUUGCCCCAACUUAUCUGAAGUCUUUUAUGAAACCAUCAUUACCAUGACCUUCUGAUGAUCAUUAUUGGCAUCUUAUUGGGUCGUACUAGAGUUACACGUUAACAAUCAGAGGUUUUGCCAACUUUCAAGAAUAACACUCAGGCAGCAUGCUUUCUUCAGAUUUUUAAAUCUGAGUUCAUCCAACUCAGCCACGAAGACUAUGGUCAAUCAAGGAGUAUUCGCAGCUGUUGGUCAUCACUUUCAUGUUUUGGUUCAAAAAUUCUGGUAAUUUUAGAUAUGCUUCUCUUCUUACACUGCACGAUUGUGACUUUUAACCACUUUGAUAUCUAAUAUAUUAUGCACAAAACAAAAGAAAUCUAGUCAUCCUGAAGAUAUUUUUGAGGUAGCCAAGGAAGAUGU